GACGAACGCUGGCGGCGUGCUUAACACAUGCAAGUCGAACGGAAAGGCCCUGCUUUUGUGGGGUGCUCGAGUGGCGAACGGGUGAGUAACACGUGAGUAACCUGCCCUUGACUUUGGGAUAACUUCAGGAAACUGGGGCUAAUACCGGAUAGGAGCUCCUGCUGCAUGGUGGGGGUUGGAAAGUUUCGGCGGUUGGGGAUGGACUCGCGGCUUAUCAGCUUGUUGGUGGGGUAGUGGCUUACCAAGGCUUUGACGGGUAGCCGGCCUGAGAGGGUGACCGGCCAGAUUGGGACUGAGAUACGGCCCGGACUCCUACGGGAGGCAGCAGUGGGGAAUAUUGAACAAUGGGCGGAAGCCUGAUGCAGCAACGCGGCGUGCGGGAUGACGGCCUUCGGGUUGUAAACCGCUUUCGCCUGUGACGAAGCGUGAGUGACGGUAAUGGGUAAAGAAGCACCGGCUAACUACGUG
rnacentral:rRNA from 1 species